GGAGGUGUGGCAUAGUGGUUUGGGUUUUGGACUAUGAUUCUGGAAACCAGGGUUUGACUCCCAACUCGGCCA